rnacentral:rRNA from 1 species
GACGAACGCUGGCGGCGUGCUUAACACAUGCAAGUCGAACGGAAAGGCCCUGCUUGCAGGGUACUCGAGUGGCGAACGGGUGAGUAACACGUGGGUGAUCUGCCCUGCACUUCGGGAUAAGCCUGGGAAACUGGGUCUAAUACCGGAUAGGAGCCAUUUUUAGUGUGAUGGUUGGAAAGUUUUUUCGGUGUAGGAUGAGCUCGCGGCCUAUCAGCUUGUUGGUGGGGUAAUGUCCUACCAAGGCGGCGACGGGUAGCCGGCCUGAGAGGGUGGACGGCCACACUGGGACUGAGAUACGGCACAGACACCUACGGGAGGGAGAAGUGGGGAAGAUUGAACAAUGGGCGCAAGCCUGAUGCAGCGACGCCGCGUGGGGGAUGACGGUCUUCGGGUUGUAAACUCCUUUCGCUAGGGACGAAGCUUUUUGUGACGGUACCUAGAUAAGAAGCACCGGCUAACUACGUG